rnacentral:rRNA from 1 species
CAAUAGCGUAUAUUUAAGUUGCUGCAGUUAAAAAGCUCGUAGUUGGAUUUCGGGUGGGAAUGGCCGGUCCGCCGUUUCGGUGUGCACUUGCUACGCCCACCUUGCUGCCGGGGACGUGCUCUUGAGUUCACGCUCGGGACACGGAGUCGGCGAGGUUACUUUGAGUAAAUUAGAGUGUUCAAAGCAGGCCUACGCUCUGAAUACAUUAGCAUGGAAUAACACGAUAGGACUCUGGCCUAUCUUGUUGGUCUGUAGGACCGGUGUAAUGAUUAAGAGGGACAGUCGGGGGCAUUCGUAUUUCAUUGUCAGAGGUGAAAUUCUUGGAUUUAUGAAAGACGAACUACUGCGAAAGCAUUUGCCAAGGAUGUUUUCAUUAA